UGCCAGCCGCCGCGGUAAUACCGGCAGCUCAAGUGAUGUCCCAUAUUAUUGGGCCUAAAGCGUCCGUAGCCUGCUGUGUAAGUCCAUCGGGAAAUCGACGUGCUCAACAUGUCGGCGUCCGGUGGAAACUACACAGCUUGGGGUCGAGAGACUUGACGGGUACGUCCGGGGUAGGAGUGAAAUCCUGUAAUCCUGGACGGACCACCAAUGGGGAAACCACGUCAAGAGACCGGACCCGACGGUGAGGGACGAAAGCCAGGGUCUCGAACCGGAUUAGAUA
rnacentral:rRNA from 1 species